GAUGAACGCUAGCGGGAGGCCUAACACAUGCAAGCCGAGCGGUAUUGUUUCUUCGGCAAUGAGAGAGCGGCGUACGGGUGCGUAACACGUGUGCAACCUGCCUUUAUCUGGGGGAUAGCCUUUCGAAAGGAAGAUUAAUACUCCAUAAUAUAUUGAACGGCAUCGUUUAAUAUUGAAAGAUCCGGCGGAUAGAGAUGGGCACGCGCAAGAUUAGCUAGUUGGUGAGGUAACGGCUCACCAAGGCGAUGAUCUUUAGGGGGCCUGAGAGGGUGAUCCCCCACACUGGUACUGAGACACGGACCAGACUCCUACGGGAGGCAGCAGUGAGGAAUAGUGGUCGAUGGGUGCAAGCCUGAACCAGCCAUCCCGCGUGAAGGACGACUGCCCUAUGGGUUGUAAACUUCUUUUGUAUAGGGAUAAACCUACCCUCGAGAGGGUAGCUGAAGGUACUAUACGAAUAAGCACCGGCUAACUCCGUG
rnacentral:rRNA from 1 species